UGGCGGACGGGUGAGUAACGCGUGAGCAACCUGCCCUUCGGAACGGGAUAGUGUCUGGAAACGGACAGGUAAUACCGGUAUAACAUAUAUUAAUCGCAUGGUUGAUAUAUCAAAACUGAGGUGCCGAAGGAUGGGCUCGCGUCUGAUUAGAUAGUUGGUGGGGUAACGGCCUACCAAGUCGACGAUCAGUAGCCGGACUGAGAGGUUGAUCGGCCACAUUGGGACUGAGACACGGCCCAGACUCCUACGGGAGGCAGCAGUGGGGAAUAUUGCACAAUGGGGGAAACCCUGAUGCAGCAACGCCGCGUGAAGGAAGACGGUUUUCGGAUUGUAAACUUCUGUUCUUAGUGAAGAAUAAUGACGGUAGCUAAGGAGCAAGCCACGGCUAACUACGUGCCAGCAGCCGCGGUAAUACGUAGGUGGCAAGCGUUGUCCGGAAUUACUGGGUGUAAAGGGAGCGUAGGCGGAAUGCCAAGUCAGCUGUGAAAACUACGGGCUUAACCUGUAGACUGCAGUUGAAACUGGUAUUCUUGAGUGAAGUAGAGGUUGGCGGAAUUCCGAGUGUAGCGGUGAAAUGCGUAGAUAUUCGGAGGAACACCGGUGGCGAAGGCGGCCAACUGGGCUUUAACUGACGCUGAGGCUCGAAAGUGUGGGGAGCAAACAGGAUUAGAUACCCUGGUAGUCCACACUGUAAACGAUGAUAACUAGGUGUGGGGGGUCUGACCCCUUCCGUGCCGCAGCUAACGCA
rnacentral:rRNA from 1 species